AACGCACGAGACCUGCGGACCUGCGGAAGGAUCAUUACUGAAUUAAUGGAAGGUUGUAGCUGGCUCCUCGGAGCAUGUGCUCGCCUUUCAAAUUCAUCUUAACCACCUGUGCACUUUUGUAGACUGUGGUAACCCUCAGUGCAUUUAGCAUUGGAUUGAGAGACUGCGAUCUUAGCUGUCUUUCAACAUCACAGUCUAUGUUUAUAUCUAUAUACUACAGUCUUAGAAUGUUUGUUGUGG
rnacentral:misc_RNA from 1 species